GACGAACGCUGGCGGCGUGCUUAACACAUGCAAGUCGAACGGAAAGGCCCUGCUUUUGUGGGGUGCUCGAGUGGCGAACGGGUGAGUAACACGUGAGUAACCUGCCCUUGACUUUGGGAUAACUUCAGGAAACUGGGGCUAAUACCGGAUAGGAGCUCCUGCUGCAUGGUGGGGGUUGGAAAGUUUCGGCGGUUGGGGAUGGACUCGCGGCUUAUCAGCUUGUUGGUGGGGUAGUGGCUUACCAAGGCUUUGACGGGUAGCCGGCCUGAGAGGGUGACCGGCCACAUUGGGACUGAGAUACGGCCCAGACUCCUACGGGAGGCAGCAGUGGGGAAUAUUGCACAAUGGGCGGAAGCCUGAUGCAGCAACGCCGCGUGCGGGAUGACGUUCUUCGGGUUGUAAACCGCUUUCGCCUGUGACGAAGCGUGAGUGACGGUAAUGGGUAAAGAAGCACCGGCUAACUACGUG
rnacentral:rRNA from 1 species